rnacentral:piRNA from 1 species
UACCUUAAAACUAAUGAACUG